rnacentral:lncRNA from 1 species
GUCUAUUUCACCCUGGUGUCUCUCUUUGUGCUAUAUGUGCCCUUUAUACAGCGUGUACCAUACAAAACGAGACCUUUAGGUUUCAGAAACGUCAGGAAAGCAUACAAUCUUAUACAUUUAGGCAUUUAAGAUGCUUUUAAUUGUAUUCACAUCAGAGAAACAAAUCGAAAUUGCUGAUAUUAGGUUAAUUCUGACUUCUAAAGGUCGUGCUUUUUAUACACCCUGUAGGUAGAUUGCAUUGCUUAAAAUCUCGUGGCGCUAUUGUACCCUAUCAUAACUGAGGCCUAAUUAAUUAACGUAGUUUUGUCACUAAUCUCCAAGGGCAGAAUCAAAGACAUAACCCACCGGGCACACGACGUUGUUUCCACGUUGAAAUUUGGUAGAAAAAAGGUUGCGACGUCGACAACCUAAUAUCUACGUUGCUCUGACGUUGUUUUACAAACAUUGGUUCAACAGCAGCCAACAGACGUUGAAUUAACGUUCAUUCAUGGUUAAAUGUACGACGUCGAUUUGUGAACCAAUCUCAACGUUGUUUUAACGUGGAUUCAACGUUGAAUUAUGGUUGACGAGACUGGCCACCUAAUUUCAACGUUGUUUCAACGUCGAAACAGUAACGUCGAUCCAAUUUGCAUAGUCAACCCCUUUUCAACGUCUAUCCAACGUCUGGAAGGUCAUUUCCAACGUUGAUUCAACGUUGGAUCAACGUCAUUUUGCCCGAUGGGAACCGCUGUAAAUAAUUACUGCUGUCCAUUGUUA